ensembl:lncRNA
GUUGACAGUCAGCACCUGCAACACACGGCCCAGUGUUGUCUGUUAACACAGCCCGGCUCCCCGGGUUUGGGCCAUUAGGUCAAAGGUCUCCGUGUUGUGUUGACCUAAGUCAACACAACAUGUUGGGAGUGUUUUACGACGUCGUGUCUCAGGGCCGCGCGGGUUACCGUAAAGGGCGGCGGCCAUUUGGAGAUUUAGUUGGCAUUUAAAACGAAACGAAAAUAUGAAAAAGAGGAUGUUUGCAGACCGCAACGUUUGACUCUGCUGAUAACGUGAUUCACGACGUUCUGCCCACGGGGCCGAGGGCCGACCAGAGGGCCCCUGAGUCACAUGACUCACACUGACCAAUGGGGGCUGGAAGAGGGAAGCAAAGCAAAACCAACCAAAAAGAUGACCGGUCUGGCUGGCCCCGUGUCUCGAGGUCACAGGCGAGCGGCGGUGACAUCAGCGACAUGAUGAGCUCACUUCCUCCUCAGACCGACCACACCGCCGUGCGUCUGGAGAGAGGAAACACACUGUCUGUCUGUCUGUCUGUCUGUCUGUCUGUCUGUCUGUCUGUCUGUCUGUCUGUCUGUCUGUCUGUCUGUCUGUCUGUCUGUCUGUCUGUCUGUCUGUCUGUCUGCCUGUCUGUCUGCCUGUCUGUCUGUCUAGGGGAAUUUCUAUCAGCGAUGUUUGACUCUGUUUGCAUAUAAGUUCUGCUUCCUCUGUAUUUGUUAACAUUAAGGGUCCCAGAUGAAAUCAUGUGAUGUUGAGAAAUAGUUGUCUACAAUAGAGGUCAAGAGAGAUUCAAAUUAAAGGAAAUGAUGCAAAGUAUGAAGCCACAGAGAGAGAGAGGGAGAGAGAGAGAGAGAGAGAGAGAGAGAGAGAGAGAGAGAGAGAGAGAGAGAGAGAGAGAGAGAGAGAGAGAGAGAGAGAGAGAGAGAGAGAG